GACCAGACUCCUACGGGAGGCAGCAGUGGGGAAUAUUGCACAAUGGGGGAAACCCUGAUGCAGCGACGCCGCGUGAGUGAGGAAGUAUUUCGGUAUGUAAAGCUCUAUCAGCAGGGAAGAAAAUGACGGUACCUGACUAAGAAGCCCCGGCUAACUACGUGCCAGCAGCCGCGGUAAUACGUAGGGGGCAAGCGUUAUCCGGAUUUACUGGGUGUAAAGGGAGCGUAGACGGCAUGGCAAGUCAGAUGUGAAAGCCCGGGGCUCAACCCCGGGACUGCAUUUGAAACUGUCAGGCUGGAGUGCAGGAGAGGUAAGUGGAAUUCCUAGUGUAGCGGUGAAAUGCGUAGAUAUUAGGAGGAACACCAGUGGCGAAGGCGGCUUACUGGACUGUAACUGACGUUGAGGCUCGAAAGUGUGGGGAGCAAACAGGAUUAGAUACCCGUGUAGC
rnacentral:rRNA from 1 species